rnacentral:rRNA from 1 species
GAGUUUGAUCAUGGCUCAGAACGAACGUUGGCGGCGUGGAUUAGGCAUGCAAGUCGAGGGAAUCCCAGCAAUGGGGAACCGCGUAAGGGCAGUAAGGCAUGGAUCACCUACCCCGCGGUUCGGGAUAGCCCAUCGAGAGAUGGGGUAAUACCGGAUGAUGUCGAGAGACCAAAGCUCCGGCGCCGUAGGAGGGGUCCAUGUGGUAUUAGCUAGUUGGUGGGUAACGGCCACCAAGGCGUAGAUGCCUAGCGGUGUGAGAGCACGACCCGCGCCACUGGCACUGAGACACUGGCCAGACACCUACGGGUGCUGCAGUCGA